GAACCAGAUGCUGGAGAAGGAGGCCGACUGCCGACCGCCGCUGCAUCGAAGCCAUCGCCAAUUACAAAAAAAGGUAAAACUUUCUCCUACCUGCUCAGAAUUCGAUUCCAAGCACCCUUGUGGCUAAAUCAAAACAAAAAAGACGGCGGGUGAGCUGGAAACUGCGGGCAAAGCCCAAUAGAUCUGCCACGGCCAAAACUUCAAAAUCCCUUUGAUGAG
rnacentral:lncRNA from 1 species